CAGAUGUAGAUGUUCCCUCAUCAGUUGAUACAAGUAUCACCUCCCCAGAGCCCAAAUCAGUUGAUACGAGUAGUAUCACCUCUCCCAUUCCUUCAGACUCCCAAGCACCUGCCCAUCCCACUCCAUAGCCCAGCCACCCACUCUCAUGUACCAUAUGACCAUCCCAGUAAGCAAGCCAACCACUAGAAUUUGACUGGCAUGCACCUGUGACUUACAUAAACCAGACCUCUACAUAGCCUACAUGUCUUCAUUUUGCUGGAGACUGCCCAUCAUCCUAGCCUGUUAUCUGUGAUAAAGCACACUGAAGUUAGGUUUGGAA